AGUUAUGAAUAUAAAAGUUGUUGGAGUUAUUAAUAUCUACAAGUUUUAUAUUUCUCAUCUUUUCGUUUGAGAAACUUUGGUCAAUUCAAAUUUUAAAAUUUGAAAAAGUUACAUCUUCAAACCGGAUUUUAAACCCCUAAAUUAUUUCAAAUGAAAAAAAUAAUGAAUACCAAACUAGUAGAACUCAUCAAGGUUUACAACUUUUAUAUUGAUCAUAUUUUCAUUUGAUAAAUUUUGAAUAAUUCAAAUUUUAAAUUUCAAAUAAUGAUAACUUCAAACUAGAUUAUGAAAUACUAAAUGAUCUGAGCUGAAAAAGUCAUGAAUAUAAAAGCUUUUUAACUCAUGAAGAUCUACAACUUUUGUUUUGGUCAUAUCUUCAUUUGACAACUUUUAUAUUGAUCAUCUUUUUAUUUGAUAAAUUUUGCACAAUUUAAAUUUUAAAUUUAAAAUACAAUACUUCAAAAUUUUACAUCUUUGUAGUUUUUUGGAAUUCAAAAUUUGAAUUAUUCAAACACAUAUUUCAAUUGUCUGCAGUUCAGUGCAUCCGUCACAGGAGGUCAUAAACACAUAUUUUCUUGUACUCUUGGCUGUUUUAUACACAUAACAAAAAAAUAAAAUAAGAAAAGAAAUAGAAAAAUAAGAAAAAGAAAAAGAAAAUCAACCCAGACUUCUCUCCUUCCACCCACUGGCCCAAAUCGGCCCACUUAAAACCCUAGACUAUAAAAUAGAGAACCCUCCCGAUAUCCCUACCUCGUUUCCUUAUCCCACUACAAGAAAUAUGUGAUUUUUUGACAUAUUUAAUAUGACACCAGGUCAUUAUGUCGUAAUAUUAUCUAGUUUAUGACGUUCUAGAUUAGGUAUUUGGAGUUACUGACAAUAAAAAGUUGUAUGUCACAACAAAUGUCAAACAACUAGCCUAAUUUCUUCUAGUGACAAUAUAUGCUAUGUCAUAAGGUUUAUUUUUCAAUGUCAUAAAUCUUUGACAAAGGCUGUGUGUCACAAGUUAUUUUAUUUAAUUAUUUUAAAUGCACUUUCCACGUUGGCAUUUAUAUUACCACCUAAGAUUAUUUUUAUUUUCUAUCUUCAAGAUGGGCCUCCUGCAGCACUAUAGAAGCAAUGCUUAUACAGGGUCCAUCCAACCAUUUGGUUAGAGAGUUUCUGCAACUACUUCACUCUGUAGCUAGAAACUGUGUGGCUA
rnacentral:lncRNA from 1 species